GUUCCUAUAGCUCAGUUGGUAUUAGAGCACAAGAUUUUUAAUCUUGGAGUCUUGGGUUCAAAUCCCAAUGGGAACA
rnacentral:tRNA from 1 species